AGGUCGGCAACGACCACCCAGGGCCGGAAAGUUGGUCAAACCCGGUCAUUUAGAGGAAGUAAAAGUCGUAACAAGGUCUCCGUAGGUGAACCUGCGGAGGGAUCAUUA
rnacentral:rRNA from 9 species